ACGCCUGUUGCAGAAGAAACAGAUCUGGUAGAGCUUGUUUCCAGAAAACAUGGAACCAGGAGGAACUCCUCAGUAAAACACAGAAUUGAAGUUAAUCCAAAGGGAAAGCCUCCUUCUGCUCCAUGUGUUUGCUGAUGAGCGGCAGCAGCUGCUCCGGCUGCCGCUCUCCUCCUGCACACCAGUCCUCCUCCCUGCGGUACUCCUGCUCCAGACUCUCCAGGACGCCACACACCUGCAUCAGCGUCUGCCAGUGCAGCGCCACCGUCUGGGCGCAGGCCCUCACUGCAUCCGGGUCGUAAUGGCCUGACCUGUGCAGAAGCAGAGACUU